GUGCUAAUACCGAAUGUUGCAUUAAGCCUGCAUGGGCUUGAUACUAAAGGUGGCCUCUAUUUAUAAGCUAUCACUAGAAGAUGGGUCUGCGUCUGAUUAGCUAGUUGGUGAGGUAAUGGCUCACCAAGGCGAUGAUCAGUAGCCGGUCUGAGAGGAUGAACGGCCACACUGGGACUGAGACACGGCCCAGACUCCUACGGGAGGCAGCAGUGGGGAAUCUUCCGCAAUGGACGAAAGUCUGACGGAGCAACGCCGCGUGAGUGAAGAAGGUUUUCGGAUCGUAAAGCUCUGUCUUUGAGGACGAAUGUGUCUAAUGUGAAUAAUGUUAGAUAAUGACGGUACUCGAGGAGGAAGCCACGGCUAACUACGUGCCAGCAGCCGCGGUAAUACGUAGGUGGCAAGCGUUGUCCGGAAUUAUUGGGCGUAAAGCGCGCGCAGGCGGGAUAUUAAGUCUGUUUUAAAAGUUCGGGGCUCAACCCCGUGAUGGAAUGGAAACUAAUAUUCUUGAGUGCAGGAGAGGAAAGUGGAAUUCCCAGUGUAGCGGUGAAAUGCGUAGAUAUUGGGAGGAACACCAGUGGCGAAGGCGACUUUCUGGACUGUGUCUGACGCUGAGGCGCGAAAGCCAGGGGAGUGAACGGGAUUAGAUACCCCGGUAAUCCUGGCCGUAAACGAUGGGUACUAGGUGUAGGAGGUAUCGACCCCUUCUGUGCCGGAGUUAACGCAAUAAGUACCCCGCCUGGGGAGUACGGCCGCAAGGUUGAAACUCAAAGGAAUUGACGGGGGCCCGCACAAGCGGUGGAGUAUGUGGUUUAAUUCGACGCAACGCGAAGAACCUUACCAGGACUUGACAUCGAUUGAAAUACCUAGAGAUAGGUACCUUCCCUUCGGGGAACAGAAGACAGGUGGUGCAUGGCUGU
rnacentral:rRNA from 1 species